rnacentral:rRNA from 1 species
CCUACGGUGUGCAGCAGUGGGGAAUAUUGCACAAUGCGGGAAACCCUGAUGCAGCGACGCCGCGUGAGCGAUGAAGUAUUUCGGUAUGUAAAGCUCUAUCAGCAGGGAAGAAGAUGACGGUACCUGACUAAGAAGCCCCGGCUAACUACGUGCCAGCAGCCGCGGUAAUACGUAGGGGGCAAGCGUUAUCCGGAUUUACUGGGUGUAAAGGGAGCGUAGACGGCGAUGCAAGCCAGAUGUGAAAGCCCGGGGCUCAACCCCGGGACUGCAUUUGGAACUGUGUGGCUGGAGUGUCGGAGAGGCAGGCGGAAUUCCUAGUGUAGCGGUGAAAUGCGUAGAUAUCAGGAGGAACACCGGUGGCGAAGGCGGCCUGCUGGACUGCGACUGACGUUGAGGCCCGAAAGCGUGGGGAGCAAACAGGAUUAGAUACCCGGGUAGUC